GUCCCAAACCAUCAAAUACUGCUCGUGCCCCACCUCUGUCACCUGGUGCCUUGCAGACAAGUUCUGUUGAAACCCCACUGAAAAGCAAGUUAUAAAUUCCUAGCUGAUGCUGCUAAUUGUCACGUGGCAUUUACAGUACUGGAUGUAAAUCAUUCAUAAUCCAAUAUCAAACCGAAAAGAGUAAAUGAGUUUGCCUCUGUGGUUAAAAAGAAUAAAGUAUUGAUUACCAUAACAAAUUAACAACUUGAAACCUGAUCUAUAUCUUCUGAGUGCUGAGAGCUUUGAACUGGAACAGUCAUGUAUUACACAUUAACCUCACAAUAUUUAAAAGCAGUUGCGCUACAACAAAAGCUAGUUAUUAGAAGAGCUCUGUAAAAAUGAUUUUAAUGGCAUUUAUGGCAGGGCUAGAGCAAUUACCAACCUGCAAUCAAACUACUAGCUUUUCAUUAAUUAAGAUAGUUGAGCAAGACCCUGUUCUCACAGAUCUGUUGUGAGAAACGAUGAUGGCAGGCACAUGGAUGAGAUGAUGUGAGAAAUGUAUUUUCAAUGGCAGGCAGAUGGGUGACAACAUGAACUAUCACAGGAUGGUAGAGGGAGCUAAAAAGCACUUGGUAGUUCCAGAGGCUUCUAUGCUGAUAUGGUUAGAUGUUGACUUUUCAUAGGAUUGGAUCUGCUCUAUGGAUUGGAAACUUACAGGGAAAGUUAACCUACAAAAUCUGUGUGUAUGCUGGGGGAAGAAAUUAGGUUAAAGCCCCACUGAUAAACCCUUUUAGGAUGCUUCUAUCUACUUUGGAUUUUCUCUCAUUUCUUCCCUGCAUGGUGAUAAGUGAGACUUCACCAGCUAAUAUGACAAGAUGACAGUGUGAAAGUGCACUAGUUUGAAUCAAUACCCAUCUCUAACCAGCAAGCUGCUUUCAGAAUAGUACUUACAAUAAUGCUAAACUGAUAGGAGCCUGAAAACUACAAGAGAAUGGGAUGAAUAUUCAUUCACAUUUUUAAGGAACUUCUAUAUGUCUGUGCUCACACUUAGUCUGUGUCUUGUUUAUGCAAAUAUUUUUAUAAAGUGGUUUGUUGGCAACUGUAUUCAUGGAAAUUGAAAAAUACAGCAAAUAUUGCAGAUGAUGAUAGAUUUAUUUUUUUCAGAUCCACAGCAGGGCUUGCAAGGAAAGCCAGGAAUUACAUGCAUAGUCAGAGAACAAAAACAUAUUGUUUGAGUAUCCUGUAAACCAAAAUGCUUUUAUCUGAAGAUGCUCAGAUCUUACGGGAUACAUUUGGCUGAUAAAAAUUCUCCACAGAGGCUACAGUGACUACCUUACACUGCAGAGAUUGUGGUAUGUUGCUGGACAAUUUGAAAACAGAAAAUAGCCGAUGAAAUGAAAGGCAUUUUGCCCUUCCUUUCACUCUGCAGUGGUGAGCUUUCACCGGGAGGAGGGUAAUCAUUCUAGGCAUUUGAAGGCAAAAAAUUGAAGUUAGUAUUUAGUCCAUGAGGAACAAAGGUACUGCUACCACUGGGAAAACAGCUCCGGGGGACAUGAAGGGGUUGGGAAAGCUUGGAAAUCCUCAGCUGGGUUGAAUUUAUCUCACUUUCCCGUGACAGAUCUCCUGAACUCCUCAUGUGGUCUGCUCUUGCUUGGGUGGAACAUCUAAUGCUACAGUAAAUUGUCAUAUUGAAGUUGACAAUGUGUGUUGAUAAUAUUUCAUAUUAUACGGAUAUAAAAAUUACACAAAACCUCAUUGGGAAGCCUUGGACCUUUUGAAGACCACUAUAAUAGCAUGCAGAGAUCUAGGAACACCUGGGAAAGCUGCUGCUGUGGUUUUAAGAUAUCUAAGUGCCCUGAAGUGUUAUUUAUUUAGUGACAUAUGACAAAUUGUUCUAUAAGGGUUAGGUGAUUGCAACUUAAAAAUAAAUUAAAGUCUCUCUUUGGGUGUCCUGCUCAAUUUUGAUAUACAACACUCUAAACAGGAGUCUUGGCUGCCUGGGAUGUGCAGCAUUUAAAGGACCAAUUAAACUUGCAAAACUCUGGCAAAAUUUCCCAUCAGCAUUAUUGCUUCCACUUUGUUACCCUGCGUUUUGUGCUGUUCCUUGUGCUUUAUCUGUUGUAGAUCUGUUUCUCAUGCUAAUUAAGGUAGGUUUAUUUCUUGA